UGGGGAAUAUUGCACAAUGGGCGCAAGCCUGAUGCAGCCAUGCCGCGUGUAUGAAGAAGGCCUUCGGGUUGUAAAGUACUUUCAGCGGGGAGGAAGGGAGUAAAGUUAAUACCUUUGCUCAUUGACGUUACCCGCAGAAGAAGCACCGGCCAACUCCGUGCCAGCAGCCGCGGUAAUACGGAGGGUGCAAGCGUUAAUCGGAAUUACUGGGCGUAAAGCGCACGCAGGCGGUCUGUCAAGUCGGAUGUGAAAUCCCCGGGCUCAACCUGGGAACUGCAUUCGAAACUGGCAGGCUAGAGUCUUGUAGAGGGGGGUAGAAUUCCAUGUGUAGCGGUGAAAUGCGUAGAGAUGUGGAGGAAUACCGGUGGCGAAGGCGGCCCCCUGGACAAAGACUGACGCUCAGGUGCGAAAGCGUGGGGAGCAAACAGG
rnacentral:rRNA from 1 species